rnacentral:lncRNA from 1 species
GGAAGCGGCAGAAAUAGCAGCCACCGCGGCCCGCGCCGCCCGGCCCCUCCCCCCAGCCCGUUGCCACGGAGACCGGGCCAGAGCGAGGCUGCGCGGGCGGCCGCGGCCGCCUGCGCCCCAACCCGCGCAUGCGCAGCGGGGCCUGGCCCACGAGGGCGUCGCGGGUGUGUCCCGUCGCCGCGCCGGGGCCACCUGGACCCCCAGACCUGCCCCUGCCGCCCGCUUAGGUGGUGGUUCGGGGGCCGGGGGAAGGAAAAGCCAAAUCGUUCCUUGUUUGCCUUUGGAAAGCCGCCCUGCCAUUGUUCCGGGCGGAUUCCUUGGUUUCCAGGCGCUGUAGGCCAGGAGAGGAGGGGGCAGGAACCCCGGCCCAGCGGUCCCAGACGUUUUCGAAGCGACAGACCCUGGGCCCAGCGCGGGGACGCGGAGGGGACACGGGCUAGCAGCCCUGCCCUCCGGAGCUCAGGCCCAGUCCGGGCUUCCCAGGCCCCGGGGCUGCCCUCCCGGAGCCCGACCUCCCCUGGGGGUGGGGGUGCUGCCCCGGGGCCCCCUUCCUGGGUUUCCUGGUCCUUUUGUUCACGUAUCCCCCUCCCCGGAUUGAACCAGCAAAGAGCACAAAGCAGAAAAUACAUCCUUGCCGCCCGCAGGCUCCCUCAUCCCGCAGAAAACUCUGAAACAGUCCACACCCGUCCCAAAGUUGAGAGAAACCUGGACGUUUCAUAAACAAAACCCGCCCUCCAGCAGCGUGUUUAUGUGGAGGCGGCCUCGCGUGUCUGAGGCUGGGAUGUGAGAAAGGAACCCCGCCCUGCAGGGGAAACUUGUCUGGUGUCCAGAAGACUUAGGAUCCACGGUGGAGGUCUGGGUGCCAUAUUGCCGUCUCUCCUUGAAGGAGAAGAUGAACACAUAGGGAGAAGGCGCCUGGGAGCUGUCGCUACAGUCUAGAGAAGCCCCACCUUGGCCCAGCAGUAGCCUGUGCUGAGAACCGGGAUUCCAGGACCAGACAGUCCUGGCGGUGGAUCCCGGCUCUGCCGAAGCCACAGCUUGUGUAUCUGGACAACAGGGAUAGCGCAGUGCCCGUGUCACAGGUGGUGAUGGCUCCUGGAGGUGGUGCACACAAGCUCGUGGCAUGGCAUCUGGUGCACAGUAGGUGCUAGAACAUAGAAGCUGUCAUUGGAGCUGGUGUGACCCAGGAUGGCCACCUUGGGUCUCUGACACUCUGGGGCUGGCUGUGUCCCAAGGCAGGUUCAUCUUUGGUCCAGCCUCCAGGAAAGGAGCACUGGACUGGGGUCAGGAGAAGCCGAGGCCAGGGGUUCUGCCACCAACCCAUUGUGUAAUCCGAGGCAAGUCCCUGAGCUGCUUUGAGCCUCAGUCUUCCCAUCUGGCAAAUGGGGAUAAUAAUCACAACCACCAUUGAUUGUGAACUUACUCAGUGCCAGGUACUCCACCGAGGUCUGUACAUUUCCUUAUCUAAUUCUGCCCUCAAAACAACCAAGUGAGGUAAAGACCACGAUGAUCCCACUUUCACAGAUGAAGGGGCAGAGCCUCAGAGAGGUGAAGUCACUUGCUGGGGACACAGCUGGAAGAUGGUGCAGUCGCUGUCACACACCCCUGAGAGCGAGUGUCCAGCUGCUGCUCCUGUCUCUGUUGUUCCCCUGCCCUUCCUGCUCACCCCCUGUACUUUUCGGUGGCUCCGGCCACAGCCCUCCCUUUGUAUUUGAACCCUUGGAUCCAGCCAUUCUGGAAUCUUCUGAGUCUGGUGCAGAUCCAGCCCCCUCAGUGGGAGACAUCCUCAGGGGUAGAUGGUGGCUUGAAGAAAGCCAGGUGGGCCCCACAUGGUCCCCACAGUCAACCCGGCGGCUCACAGCUGAUCGGCCAUCCACCGUGUCUCCCCCUGCCAUUUACACCGAAGGGUUGGGGUUCCUAACACACCCGGGUGGACGCGUGGCCUCCAGAUGGUGCAGUUAAUCCCGCUGGAAGCCGUAAAUCAGCGAGAUUGUCCCAGCUUCCCCUCCCCUCCUCCGUGCUGUCACCUCCAGAAGCUGGUGGGAGAAGCACCCCUCCAGCCCCGCCCUCCCGCCCCGGCCUUUGUUCCUGCUCAGUAGCCGGCAGGACGUGGCCCAGUCACGGUCUCCACGGCCCACGUUUGAAUCUCAGCCCUGUCACUGCCUGGCACGGUGGCUUUGGCCAAGCACUUCAUCUCCUGUUAUCCUCAGUUUCCUCAUCCAUGAAAUAGGGUGGGUCACAGCACCUGCCUGGUCCUAAAGAUGGGGGCUGCUGUGUGUGAGCGCUCCACCCUGGACCUGGCUCCCGGGGGGUCCUCGGAUAUGCUGCUGGUUAUAACAAGUUCUUACUCUGGGCUAGGUGUUGUAAUGCUUUAGCUCAGUGAAUCCUCAAACAAGCACAUUAUGACCCUUUUAUAGGUGGGGAAGCUCCCACUCCGAGAAGGGAAGUAAGUUGCCCAAGGCCACACAGCCAAUUAGCAGAACUGGGAUUAAAUCAGGCAGGCCUGUGCAGCUCUAAAGACCUCGCUGUAACCCUAGGUUCCUGGCCCUCCCUACUGAGGCCCUCUGAGGCUCUCUACCAAACCAGCAUCUGCAGUGACAGCAUCGUUAGCCCUGCCUGGAGCCGUUGGGUUAAUAGGUCCUUAAUAAAGCCAGCAGAGGCGUCUGCAGCUUCGCAGGGCAGGGGCCGAGGGGCCAGGUGCAGCAGAUGUGUCCUAAUGAAAAUAUCGGGGGGGGGGGAGGGGGAGGGGACCAUGGGGUGAGCCGCCUGCUCACGUCUCCAGCUUCCUGACCUCUGUGGCUGAGUCACUGGAGGCCUCCAGGUGCAGGGGACAAUCAAUUCCAUCACUCAUUCCAUCUAUGCUGGCUUGCUUCCUUUCAUCCAUUCACCCAUCAUCCAUCCAUCCAUCCUUCCAUUCCAUCCAUCCUCUCCCAGUGACUCAUCCUCCCUCCCUGGCUUCCAUGCAUCCAUCCAUCCAUGAAUCCACUCACCCAUUCCCUCCUUCCCUUCCUCCUUUCCUUCUCUCCUUCCUUCUGCCCAUCUGUCCACCCAGUGUUUACUGAGCACCCGUCUUGAGCCAAGCCUUAUGUGACGUGCCCAGGUUCCUCCCUCUGAGGGACUCACAUUCUCAAAAGGAUGCAAAACAACUAAGCCCAAGUGCACAGGGCACUAGGAGAGGAGAGGGCGUCUCGGGGGCUCUGACACUGGGCUCUGCACACCUUCCUCAGCCAAGCUCGCCAGGUGACCUUGGGCAGAUCACACUCCCUGGAGGCCACUCUCUUCUACCUGUUCAAAAAAGGGUGUCCUCGUCCAUUCGGCUGCUAUGACCUUAGACUGGGUUAUUUAUAAACAAGUUUAUAGUUCACAUUUCUGGAGGUUGAGAAGUCCAAGAUCAAGGUGCCUGCAGAUUUGGUGUCUGAUGAGGGCCCUUUCCUCACAGAUGGUGCCUUAUAGCCUUGUCCUCACAUGGUGGAAGGGGCGAGCAGGCUCCCCAGGCCUCUUGCCUAAAAGCAUAGAUACCAUUCAUGAGGAUGGAGCCCUCAUUACCUAAUCACCUCCCAGAAACCUCAUCUCUUAAUACACAUUGCAGAUAAUGGUGUUGUUUGUUUUUGUUUGUUUGUUUUUGAGACAGGGUCUCCCUCUGUCACCCAGGCUGGAAUGCAGUGGUGUGAUCUUGCCUCACUACAGCCUCCGCCUCCCGGGUUCAAGCAAUGCUCCCACCUCAGCCUCC